rnacentral:rRNA from 1 species
GACGAACCGUCCAAACGUUAUUCGGAAUCACUGGGCUUAAAGGGUGCGUAGGCGGCCCGGCAAGUUGGGUGUGAAAGCCCUCGGCUCAACCGAGGAACUGCGCCCAAAACUACCGAACUAGAGGAAGAUAUAGGUGAGCGGAACUUAGGGUGGAGCGGUGAAAUGCGUUGAGAUCCUAAGGAACACCAGUAGCGAAAGCGGCUCACUGGGUCUUUUCUGACGCUGAGUGCACGAAAGCUAGGGGAGCGAAGAGGAUUAGAUACCCUCGUA